rnacentral:rRNA from 1 species
UAAACAUUGGUACAUUACUACAUUUCAAUCCGCCCGGGUACUACAAGCGCUAGCUUAAAACCCAAAGGACUUGGCGGUGCUUAAGAUCCCCCUAGAGGAGCCUGUUCUAGAACCGAUAAUCCACGUUUAACCUCACCCUCCCUUGUUUCUCCCGCCUAUAUACCGCCGUCGUCAGCUUACCCUGUGAAGGUCUAACAGUGAGCAAAAAUGGCACAGCCCAAAACGUCAGGUCGAGGUGUAGCGCAUGAGAGGGGAAGAAAUGGGCUACAUUCUCUAAAAUAGAAGCAUACGGAUAAUAUAUUGAAACAUAUAUUUUAAGGAGGAUUUAGCAGUAAGUAGAAAUUAGAAUAUUCCACUGAAUCCGGCCCUAAAGCGCGC